UUCUACGGCCGUACCACCCUGAACGCACCUGCUCUCGUCUGAUCUCGGAAGAUCAGGCUGUAGGCACACCUGUAGGGC
rnacentral:rRNA from 1 species